rnacentral:lncRNA from 1 species
UAGAGAGAGAGAGAGAGAGAGAGAGAGAGAAACGUCAUGUUUGCUAAAAUUUCAUUACAAAGGCGUAAAUUUUCUUGAGAUAGAGAAAUCGAAUUCAUAAAUACCACUGAUUAUAGUCCGCUCAUUUCAUUUAAGAUGCAAAAUUGGAAUCCUUUCAUAAUGAUCAGAUAUAGCAGCAGUAAGUAUGGCUUAAGGAAUCAUUUUUACCAUUCGAUGGAUCUGUCGUAACAAGUAAAAGACAUGAACUUGAAGGCUAUCAUUUCCCCAGUUCUUUUGUUCUUCUUGUAUUUUCUUUGCCAAAGUCACAGCCGAAGGGCUAGUGUCAUACAAGUCAAUGAUUUGAAGUGUUAAGACAUUUCCAAUACUAGGAGGGAUCUCCUCUAGUUUGAAACAUCCCCUAAGAAUUAGGUGCUCAAGGCUUCGGAAAUGAGUAUUAUCAGCUCUACAUUGCACUAGAUUUAUACGAUGAAGUAGAAGAAAAUUUAGUUUGCGAAAUUCUCCUUCGGUUAGCUCCCAUUCUGGCUAAAAAAAUUCAUUAGAUUGCAGUUUGAGCACUUCAAGAUUGGGAAUUGAUCCAACAAUAGUCAUAUCUUUCCAAGAAAUUCUGUAAUCCACUAAAGUUAAUGAUUUGAUAUUUGGUGGGAAAGUGAAAUUUAUCGGGAUAUCAACACAUUCAACUGCACCUAUAAUUUUCAGGGUCUCAAGUUGAGGAAGAUUAACCAGAUUCCCUAGAGAAAAGGGUGUGAGUGCUACUUGUUGAAUCAAAAUUCCUAACUUGUUCAGAUUUGGAACUUUUUUAAAUACCUCCUUGGUACAGUUGGAACUACUCACUUUUGACAAUGUUAAAAGGUUUCCUAGAACUAAAUUCUCUCCUUCUGUUCGUGAUCUAGAGGGGCAUGGCAAAUAACACAUCCGAACAUGAGAUGCCUUAAUUGUGGCAUCCUCCAUAUUUCAUCUGGUAG